AUUGAACGCUGGCGGCAGGCCUAACACAUGCAAGUCGAGCGGCAGCGGGAAAGUAGCUUGCUACUUUUGCCGGCGAGCGGCGGACGGGUGAGUAAUGCCUGGGAAAUUGCCCAGUCGAGGGGGAUAACAGUUGGAAACGACUGCUAAUACCGCAUACGCCCUACGGGGGAAAGCAGGGGACCUUCGGGCCUUGCGCGAUUGGAUAUGCCCAGGUGGGAUUAGCUAGUUGGUGAGGUAAUGGCUCACCAAGGCGACGAUCCCUAGCUGGUCUGAGAGGAUGAUCAGCCACACUGGAACUGAGACACGGUCCAGACUCCUACGGGAGGCAGCAGUGGGGAAUAUUGCACAAUGGGGGAAACCCUGAUGCAGCCAUGCCGCGUGUGUGAAGAAGGCCUUCGGGUUGUAAAGCACUUUCAGCGAGGAGGAAAGGUUGAUGCCUAAUACGUAUCAACUGUGACGUUACUCGCAGAAGAAGCACCGGCUAACUCCGUGCCAGCAGCCGCGGUAA
rnacentral:rRNA from 1 species